rnacentral:snRNA from 1 species
CUGCUUGCUUUGGCAGAAUACUUACUGAAAUUGGAAAAAUACAAAGGUUAGCAUGGCCCCUGCGCAAAGAUGACACUCAAAUUUGUAAAAAGUUCCAUAUUUCA